rnacentral:rRNA from 1 species
UUAAGCGACUAAGCGUACACGGUGGAUGCCCUGGCAGUCAGAGGCGAUGAAGGACGUGCUAAUCUGCGAUAAGCGUCGGUAAGGUGAUAUGAACCGUUAUAACCGGCGAUUUCCGAAUGGGGAAACCCAGUGUGUUUCGACACACUAUCAUUAACUGAAUCCAUAGGUUAAUGAGGCGAACCGGGGGAACUGAAACAUCUAAGUACCCCGAGGAAAAGAAAUCAACCGAGAUUCCCCCAGUAGCGGCGAGCGAACGGGGAGCAGCCCAGAGCCUGAAUCAGUGUGUGUGUUAGUGGAAGCGUCUGGAAAGGCGCGCGAUACAGGGUGACAGCCCCGUACACAAAAAUGCACAUGCUGUGAGCUCGAUGAGUAGGGCGGGACACGUGGUAUCCUGUCUGAAUAUGGGGGGACCAUCCUCCAAGGCUAAAUACUCCUGACUGACCGAUAGUGAACCAGUACCGUGAGGGAAAGGCGAAAAGAACCCCGGCGAGGGGAGUGAAAAAGAACCUGAAACCGUGUACGUACAAGCAGUGGGAGCACGCUUAGGCGUGUGACUGCGUACCUUUUUGUAUAAUGGGUCAGCGACUUAUAUUCUGUAGCAAGGUUAACCGAAUAGGGGAGCCGAAGGGAAACCGAGUCUUAACUGGGCGUUAAGUUGCAGGGUAUAGACCCGAAACCCGGUGAUCCAGCCAUGGGCAGGUUGAAGGUUGGGUAACACUAACUGGAGGACCGAACCGACUAAUGUUGAAAAAUUAGCGGAUGACUUGUGGCUGGGGUGAAAGGCCAAUCAAACCGGGAGAUAGCUGGUUCUCCCGAAAGCUAUUUAGGUAGCGCCUCGUGAAUUCAUCUCCGGGGUAGAGCACUGUUUCGGCAAGGGGUCAUCCCGACUUACCAACCCGAUGCAAACUGCGAAUACCGGAGAAUGUUAUCACGGGAGACACACGGCGGUGCUAACGUCCGUCGUGAAGAGGGAAACAACCCAGACCGCCAGCUAAGGUCCCAAAGUCAUGGUUAAGUGGGAAACGAUGGGAAGGCCCAGACAGCCGUGAUGUUGGCUUAGAAGCAGCCAUCAUUUAAAGAAAGCGUAAUAGCUCACUGGUCGAGUCGGCCUGCGCGGAAGAUGUAACGGGCUAAACCAUGCACCGAAGCGGCAGCGACGCUGAUGCGUUGUUGGGUAGGGGAGCGUUCUGUAAGCCUGCGAAGGUGUGCUGUGAGGCAUGCUGGAGGUAUCAGAAGUGCGAAUGCUGACAUAAGUAACGAUAAAGCGGGUGAAAAGCCCGCUCGCCGGAAGACCAAGGGUUCCUGUCCAACGUUAAUCGGGGCAGGGUGAGUCGACCCCUAAGGCGAGGCCGAAAGGCGUAGUCGAUGGGAAACAGGUUAAUAUUCCUGUACUUGGUGUUACUGCGAAGGGGACGGAGAAGGCUAUGUUGGCCGGGCGACGGUUGUCCCGGUUUAAGCGUGUAGGCUGGUUUUCCGUGCAAAUCCGGAAAAUCAAGGCUGAGGCGUGAUGACGAGGCACUACGGUGCUGAAGCAACAAAUGCCCUGCUUCCAGGAAAAGCCUCUAAGCAUCAGGUAACAUCAAAUCGUACCCCAAACCGACACAGGUGGUCAGGUAGAGAAUACCAAGGCGCUUGAGAGAACUCGGGUGAAGGAACUAGGCAAAAUGGUGCCGUAACUUCGGGAGAAGGCACGCUGAUAUGUAGGUGAAGCGACUUGCUCGUGGAGCUGAAAUCAGUCGAAGAUACCAGCUGGCUGCAACUGUUUAUUAAAAACACAGCACUGUGCAAACACGAAAGUGGACGUAUACGGUGUGACGCCUGCCCGGUGCCGGAAGGUUAAUUGAUGGGGUCAGCGCAAGCGAAGCUCUUGAUCGAAGCCCCGGUAAACGGCGGCCGUAACUAUAACGGUCCUAAGGUAGCGAAAUUCCUUGUCGGGUAAGUUCCGACCUGCACGAAUGGCGUAAUGAUGGCCAGGCUGUCUCCACCCGAGACUCAGUGAAAUUGAACUCGCUGUGAAGAUGCAGUGUACCCGCGGCAAGACGGAAAGACCCCGUGAACCUUUACUAUAGCUUGACACUGAACAUUGAGCCUUGAUGUAGGAUAGGUGGGAGGCUUGGAAGUGUGGACGCCAGUCUGCAUGGAGCCGACCUUGAAAUACCACCCUUUAAUGUUUGAUGUUCUAACGUUGACCCGUAAUCCGGGUUGCGGACAGUGUCUGGUGGGUAGUUUGACUGGGGCGGUCUCCUCCUAAAGAGUAACGGAGGAGCACGAAGGUUGGCUAAUCCUGGUCGGACAUCAGGAGGUUAGUGCAAUGGCAUAAGCCAGCUUGACUGCGAGCGUGACGGCGCGAGCAGGUGCGAAAGCAGGUCAUAGUGAUCCGGUGGUUCUGAAUGGAAGGGCCAUCGCUCAACGGAUAAAAGGUACUCCGGGGAUAACAGGCUGAUACCGCCCAAGAGUUCAUAUCGACGGCGGUGUUUGGCACCUCGAUGUCGGCUCAUCACAUCCUGGGGAAGUAGGUCCCAAGGGUAUGGCUGUUCGCCAUUUAAAGUGGUACGCGAGCUGGGUUUAGAACGUCGUGAGACAGUUCGGUCCCUAUCGCCGUGGGCGCUGGAGAACUGAGGGGCUGCUCCUACGAGAGGACCGGAGUGGACGCAUCACUGGUGUUCGGGUUGUCAUGCCAAUGGCACUGCCCGGUAGCUAAAUGCGGAAGAGAUAAGUGCUGAAAGCAUCUAAGCACGAAACUUGCCCCGAGAUGAGUUCUCCUGACUCCUUGAGAGUCCUGAAGGAACGUUGAAGACGACGACGUUGAUAGGCCGGGUGUGUAAGCGCAGCGAUGCGUUGAGCUAACCGGUACUAAUGAACCGUGAGGCUUAACCU